UUAAAAUUGGAAAAACCCUAAUUUGAAGUCACAGAACCUCUUCGACUCUUUCCUCUUGGUUUUCUCAUCUUCUGACUCUUCUCAUCAUCUAAACUCAGCUGCCGGCGCUUAUUGUCUCCCCGCAGCUGGCACCGGAGCAGGCAGCUGGCACUGCAGUUGCGUAUCUUCCGCCGCCACCACAAGCGCGUCGAGUCUCUGGUCGUAGCUUCGCCUCUUUGGAUCGUAGUCGCACCGCCGCUCUGUUCCGCCGUCUUUUGUUCUGCCGUCCGCCUUUCCUUGUCGUGACCAGCUCUGUUCUUCUCUGUUCUCUGGGUACCCUCGCCUUUCCUCAAGCAAUGACACAAGGACGAGGCUUACAUUUGUCACAUUGGGGAAGUUGAAGGGGAGGUUUUCAUUGGCCAAGAAGCCAAAACCAAGAAACAAGCAUACAUGAGUGCAGCAAAUGUUGUUUUUUCAAUCUUAAAAGGGAACAUAGUUCUUUUAAGAUUGGAAAAUCAACAUUUGCUGCACCCAAAUCUAAGGGAAGCAAAGGUUUUUUUUCCCAAAGUUAGGAGUGGACUCGAACCCGCGACCUCUAGGUGGCGCAGGUAGGGAGAAGACUUCCUCCGGCAUCACAAAACCGGAGAGGGUUAAAGGAGAGAAAGACAGUAAGAGACAAAGACGCUAGAUCAAGAGAGAGAGGAAGAGGAAUGAGGCUACAACGGUGAUGGUGGCCAUCGCCGCUGUUGGUUCCGCAGUCCUCCGUAUAAUGGCUUCGUAGUCCUUCCUUCGCGGGCGGCAGCGGGUUCUGCGAAUGCGAUGACCCAGUUACUUACGACGGUGUACUUCAGUGAUCUGGACGUGCUCCUAUGGAGUUUUGAUUCUGAUGAACAUAGCAGCGCUUCCAUAGCAAUGCUAAGGAAAUUGGCUUCAUUAAGGGUCUCCUCCCACGUUUCCAUCAAAACAGAGAUGAAGAAAACAUGACGGUGAAGAGCGGAAGCACGAGAGAAGAAGGAGAAACAUCCUUAUUUCAGUAAUUGAUUGGACUUCAUGCUUUCAUGCCUGAGCCAGCUCAAGAGGAGAUCUUCUCCCUUUGGGAACAAGUUGUUGUUGCCUGUAUGAAGUUUAAUUCUGCAAACUAAGAUCAAGGAGAAGCUAGUGGAAGGUGAAAACAAGAUCAAGUGCAAAAUGAGGACUUUAAUUGUAAGUUCUGGAGAAAACUUAUGCUGGGGAGGCUUACCCUUUAGAAGCAGUGCAAGGGAGUUAUUUUGAUCAUACUUUCGAGUAUUGGGCUUUUUCUUAUUGGAAAAAGGAGAAGUUAAUGGAUCC